rnacentral:misc_RNA from 1 species
ACACCUCAACUCUCAUGGUCUGCCAUGAUGAGCUUGGACUUUGGGGGUCUUGCUGGCCUAUCGUCAGCUCCUCUCAAAUGGAUCAGCUUCCCAGUGUUUGGUGGCGUCACAGGUGUGAUAACUAUCUACGCUUGUGGCUUUCUGCCAUUAACCUUCAGCAAUGGAGGUUCGCUGGAGCUCACAGAUGUCUCUCCUUGGCGAGGACAGCUUUUUGAAC